AUGGAGAAGGCCGAAAAUCCAACAAAGAGUAGGCG
ncrna:unclassified sequences DTF805b RNA